rnacentral:rRNA from 1 species
CAAGUCGAGUGCGCGUGCCGUAGCAAUACGGCAUGGCGCACGGCGCACGGGUGCGUAACACGUGGGCAAUCUGCCCUCCGGUGGGGAAUAACCCCGCGAAAGCGGGGCUAAUUCCGCAUAACAUUCCCUGGACUCCGGUUCGGGGAUUCAAAGCAGUGAUGCGCCGGAGGAGGAGCCCGCGCCCGAUUAGCUAGUUGGUGAGGUAACGGCUCACCAAGGCAAUGAUCGGUAGCUGGUCUGAGAGGAUGGCCAGCCACACUGGAACUGAGACACGGUCCAGACUCCUACGGGAGGCAGCAGUGGGGAAUCUUGCGCAAUGGGCGAAAGCCUGACGCAGCGACGCCGCGUGGGGGAUGAAGCUUUUCGGAGUGUAAACCCCUUUCGACUGGGACGAAUGCCCGCAAGGGAGUGACGGUACCGGUAGAAGAAGCCCCGGCUAACUACGUGCCAGCAGCCGCGGUAAGACGUAGGGGGCCAGCGUUGUUCGGAAUUACUGGGUGUAAAGGGUUCGUAGGCGGUGUGGCAAGUCGGGAGUGAAAUUUCUGGGCUUAACCCAGAAGCUGCUUCCGAAACUGCUGUGCUAGAGUGCGGGAGAGGCGCGUGGAAUUGCAGGUGUAGCGGUGAAAUGCGUAGAUAUCUGCAGGAACACCCGUGGCGAAAGCGGCGCGCUGGACCGUUACUGACGCUGAGGAACGAAAGCUAGGGGAGCAAACAGGAUUAGAUACCCUGGUAGUCCUAGCCCUAAACGAUCAGGACUUGGGGUGCCUUCCGUUCGGAAGUCGUCCCGGAGCUAACGCGUUAAGUCCUGCACCUGGGGAGUACGGUCGCAAGACUGAAACUCAAAGGAAUUGACGGGG